rnacentral:rRNA from 1 species
CGAACGCGUCUUGGUUAUUGACGUUGGAUGCUUGCAUUUAACUGAUUUAACAUUGAGACGAGUGGCGAACUGGUGAGUAACGCGUGGGUAACCUGCCCUUGAAGUAGGGGAUAACACUUGGAAACAGGUGCUAAUACCGUAUAACAACCAAAACCACCUGGUUUUGGUUUAAAAGAUGGCUUCGGCUAUCACUUUAGGAUGGACCCGCGGCGUAUUAGCUUGUUGGUAAGGUAACGGCCUACCAAGGCAAUGAUACGUAGCCGACCUGAGAGGGUAAUCGGCCACAUUGGGACUGAGACACGGCCCAAACUCCUACGGGAGGCAGCAGUAGGGAAUCUUCCACAAUGGACGAAAGUCUGAUGGAGCAACGCCGCGUGAGUGAUGAAGGGUUUCGGCUCGUAAAACUCUGUUGUUGGAGAAGAACAGGUGUGAGAGUAACUGUUCACAUCUUGACGGUAUCCAACCAGAAAGCCACGGCUAACUACGUGCCAGCAGCCGCGGUAAUACGUAGGUGGCAAGCGUUGUCCGGAUUUAUUGGGCGUAAAGCGAGCGCAGGCGGUUUCUUAGGUCUGAUGUGAAAGCCUUCGGCUUAACCGGAGAAGUGCAUCGGAAACCAGGAGACUUGAGUGCAGAAGAGGACAGUGGAACUCCAUGUGUAGCGGUGAAAUGCGUAGAUAUAUGGAAGAACACCAGUGGCGAAGGCGGCUGUCUGGUCUGUAACUGACGCUGAGGCUCGAAAGCAUGGGUAGCGAACAGGAUUAGAUACCCUGGUAGU